GACGAACGCUGGCGGCGUGCUUAACACAUGCAAGUCGAACGGAAAGGCCCUGCUUUUGUGGGGUGCUCGAGUGGCGAACGGGUGAGUAACACGUGAGUAACCUGCCCUUGACUUUGGGAUAACUUCAGGAAACUGGGGCUAAUACCGGAUAGGAGCUCCUGCUGCAUGGUGGGGGUUGGAAAGUUUCGGCGGUUGGGGAUGGACUCGCGGCUUAUCAGCUUGUUGGUGGGGUAGUGGCUUACCAAGGCUUUGACGGGUAGCCGGCCUGAGAGGGUGACCGGCCACAUUGGGACUGAGAUACGGCCCAGACUCCUACGGGAGGCAGCAGUGGGGAAUAUUGCACAAUGGGCGGAAGCCUGAUGCAGCACCGCCGCGUGCGGGAUGACGGCCUUCGGGUUGUAACCCGCUUUCGCCUGUGACGAAGCGUGAGUGACGGUAAUGGGUAAAGAAGCACCGGCUAACUACGUG
rnacentral:rRNA from 1 species